rnacentral:rRNA from 1 species
AGAAUCAACGCUGGCGGCGUGCCUAACACAUGCAAGUCGAACGCGAAAGUCCCGCAAGGGAUGAGUAGAGUGGCAAACGGGUGAGUAACACGUGGGUGACCUGCCUUCGAGCGGGGGAUAACGUCCCGAAAGGGACGCUAAUACCGCAUGAUAUCCCGCCUUUGAAGAGGUGGAGAUCAAAGCUGGGGAUCGCAAGACCUAGCACUUGAAGAGGGGCCCGCGCCUGAUUAGCUAGUUGGUGGGGUAACGGCUCACCAAGGCAACGAUCAGUAUCCGGCCUGAGAGGGCGACGGACACGACUGGGACUGAGACACGGCCCAGACUCCUACGGGAGGCAGCAGCAGGGAAUCUUGCACAAUGGGCGAAAGCCUGAUGCAGCAACGCCGCGUGUGGGAUGAAGGCCUUCGGGUUGUAAACCACUUUCAGGAGGGAAGAAAUUGACGGUACCUCCAAAAGAAGUCCGGCAACUACGUGCCAGCAGCCGCGGUAA